rnacentral:lncRNA from 1 species
GCCUUCGCUGCUCCGCCGCGGCUCUCAGCGCCGCUCAGCGCGGCGGGCCCGCCCGGGCUCAGGUGCCCCCCGCUCUCCGGACCUUCUCGCCCGGCCCCGCGUCCCCUCCGCGGGCUUCCCCCGGCGGCCGGCCGGGCUCGGAGGCUCGCGGCCGGAGCGGAGCGGAGUGCGCACGCCGGGGUGGCAGGACUUCGGCAAGACCAACUUUCCGGUUCGGAAGCGGCGCGGGCCGCGCGGCUCCUCCCCUCCUCUCCCUCCCCUGCGUUCCCCCUCCCUUCCACUCCCCCCUCUCCCCGCCCCCCAACCCGCGGGCCCCACCGACUCCGGAGCGCCCGCCCCGCCCGCUGCUGCCACCGGGCCGCCUCGCCCCCGCGCCAGCCCGCCUGGGCCUCUGCGCCGCCGGCGGCUUCUUAAAUACAGGAAAGGGAGGGGACCGCAGGGCCCCGGUGUUCCCCACCCUAGUCCCCCUUCACCACGGGCCACCGGGCGCCAGCGGAGUGGGCAGCGAGCGCGACCGAAAGUUCCAACUCCACCAAACUCCCGCGCGCGGCCCACCCUUUCCCGGGAUUUCGGGGAUGACACGGGGGCCAGUGGUCCUGUCUGGUGUGAACCGUCAGCACAGAUGGCCUCCUGGAGCUUCCCCGAGUCGUUCGCUGGGGGAAGCGGGCGGUGAGCGGCCAGCCCGGGCGCUCCGCAGGCCGCGAGCUCCCGGCAGGGCUGGUGGCGGGGGUCCGCCUGGGGGAGGAAUCCCCGCCUGCUCCAUCGGACCCGGCCUGGCGCGGCUCGCGGCGCUCGGCGGGCUCCCUUCCAUUCUAGAAUCUUCCCGCUUGCUUCCCAGCCCGCGUUCUUCCGCCUGCCUUUAAUUGUGUAAGUUUGACGAAGUCAGAGCUUUGGGUUCCAGGAAAAGCGCAGGAGGGUCAUAGAGGAAGGGAGGGCGCAGGUUGGAGUCAGGUCCAAACAGUCCCUAUCGCCACUUUUG